rnacentral:rRNA from 1 species
CAGCAGUGGGGAAUUUUGGACAAUGGGCGAAAGCCUGAUCCAGCCAUGCCGCGUGCAGGAUGAAGGCCUUCGGGUUGUAAACUGCUUUUGUACGGAACGAAAAGACUCCUUCUAAUAAAGGGGGUCCAUGACGGUACCGUAAGAAUAAGCACCGGCUAACUACGUGCCAGCAGCCGCGGUAAUACGUAGGGUGCGAGCGUUAAUCGGAAUUACUGGGCGUAAAGCGUGCGCAGGCGGUUAUAUAAGACAGAUGUGAAAUCCCCGGGCUCAACCUGGGAACUGCAUUUGUGACUGUAUAGCUAGAGUACGGCAGAGGGGGAUGGAAUUCCGCGUGUAGCAGUGAAAUGCGUAGAUAUGCGGAGGAACACCGAUGGCGAAGGCAAUCCCCUGGGCCUGUACUGACGCUCAUGCACGAAAGCGUGGGGAGCAAACAGGAUUAGA